rfam:Octopus bimaculoides Scaffold63336_contig_2, whole genome shotgun sequence.
AGCACGAUGGCCGAGUGGUUAAGGCGUCGGACUUAAGUUCCAAUGGACAAGUGUCCGCGUGGGUUCGAAUCCCACUCGUGCUA